rnacentral:rRNA from 1 species
GAUGAACGCUAGCGGCAAGCUUAAUACAUGCAAGUCGAGGGGCAGCAUGACUGUAGCAAUACAGUUGAUGGCGACCGGCAAACGGGUGCGGAACACGUACAGAACCUUCCUUCGAGCGGGGAAUAGCCCAGAGAAAUUUGGAUUAAUACCCCAUAGUAUAUUGGAGUGGCAUCACUUUGAUAUUAAAGAUUUAUCACUUGAAGAUGGCUGUGCGGCUGAUUAGAUAGUUGGCGGGGUAACGGCCCACCAAGUCUGCGAUCAGUAACUGGUGUGAGAGCACGACCAGUCACACGGGCACUGAGACACGGGCCCGACUCCUACGGGAGGCAGCAGUAAGGAAUAUUGGUCAAUGGACGAAAGUCUGAACCAGCUAUGCCGCGUGGAGGAUGAAGGCCCUCUGGGUUGUAAACUUCUUUUAUAUGGACGAAAAGGGCCUUUCUAGGUCAACUGACGGUACCAUGUGAUAAGCACCGGCUAACUCCGUGCCAGCAGCCG